AUGACAUGUGCUUUCCCUAACAGUAACUAAGACUACCUACUGCAGUGUCAUGGCUGGAGUUGUCAUCAUGCUUUAGAGUCAUACAAGACUUGCAUCCCUAGAGGAAUCACCGCUAUUUAUCAAAAUGGUUGUCCACCUUUAUUGCCCAGUCACCCUAGUUGUCCAAGACCUGGAACAUCAUACCUAAAAAAUGGGACAUGCUAGACGAAAACAGCUUUCAGAUUUGAAGUCGAUACUGCAGAUGUCCAAGAAGGAAAACAAACAUCCUGGCUGGGAAGGGGGAUGAUUUCUUACGUAGAUAGGGAGCCAGAUUGGAGGGACAGAUGGGUUGACUGGCUGGAUGAAGAAACAACCUUAUGCCCAGCUGGAAUAAUAUGAUGGUUGGAC